rnacentral:rRNA from 1 species
UACGUAGGUGGCGAGCGUUAUCCGGAAUUAUUGGGCGUAAAGAGCGCGCAGGUGGUUGAUUAAGUCUGAUGUGAAAGCCCACGGCUUAACCGUGGAGGGUCAUUGGAAACUGGUCGACUUGAGUGCAGAAGAGGGAAGUGGAAUUCCAUGUGUAGCGGUGAAAUGCGUAGAUAUCGGGAGGAACACCGGUGGCGAAGGCGGCUUUCUGGCCAGUUACUGACGCUCAUGCGCGAGAGCUGGGUUAGUGAACCGGAUUAGAUACCCCGGUAGU